UACGUAGGGUGCAAGCGUUAAUCGGAAUUACUGGGCGUAAAGCGUGCGCAGGCGGUGAUGUAAGACAGGUGUGAAAUCCCCGGGCUUAACCUGGGAACUGCAUUUGUGACUGCAUCGCUGGAGUGCGGCAGAGGGGGAUGGAAUUCCGCGUGUAGCAGUGAAAUGCGUAGAUAUGCGGAGGAACACCGGUGGCGAAGGCGGCUUCCUGGACCGACACUGACGCUGAGGCGCGAAAGCUAGGGGAGCAAACGGG
rnacentral:rRNA from 1 species